AUUGAACGCUGGCGGCAGGCCUAACACAUGCAAGUCGAGCGGAGCGGAGGACGGGAGAGUAAUGCCUAGGAAUCUGCCUGGUAGUGGGGGAUAACGUCCGGAAACGGGCGCUAAUACCGCAUACUAUCAGAAGAGCCUAGGUCGGAUUAGCUAGUUGGUGGGGUAAAGGCUCACCUAGGCGACGAUCUCUAGCUGGUCUGAGAGGAGGUUCAGUCACACUGGAACUGAGACACGGUCCAGACUCCUACGGGAGGCAGCAGUUGGGAAGAUUGGACAAUGGGCUAGAGCCUGAUCCAGCCCUGCCGCGUGUGUGAAGAAGUUCUGCGGAUUGUAAAGCACUUUAAGUUGGGAGGCGUUACCAACAGAAUAAGCACCGGCUAACUUCGUGCCAGCAGCCGCGGUAAUAC
rnacentral:rRNA from 1 species